GACGUAUUAUUGAUACAACUCACUUUUUAAUAUUUAACAGGUGUUAUAUCUGUUUAUCUAAAUAGUAAACAUAUAUCUUCUUCCAGAGUAGGCGUUGAGCUGUCAGUGUUCUGUGAUAAAGAAGACAUAAUCAGAUUUUGAGACUGCGAGUUCAAUUGAGGCAGAAGUUUGAUUUCUCAGAGCAUACGGCUGACAUCAUCAGAUAGAAAGGUUGGGAGUCCCAUUGAGUGAUAAUUUGGCUUUCACAAAACAUACUGCAAUCUUUCAAAAGACAAGGACUGUUGAAGAUAUGUCUCCAUUUUUCAAGAGAAGGAAACACAAUGUUAAACCACGUCAACUUCGCAAUUUUUUUUGCACCACCUUACGAAUGCCAUUGAAGAAGAUACCAGAGAAAAAUGUGACAGCGAAUUCAAAUUAAAAAGCCCUAUCAGCUCGGGUGAUGAAUUUAUGGAAGAGAGUGGCUUCAUGGGUGACGAUGAAGAAGAUGUAUCCUCUGAUGACUCAAACAAUGAAGUGGAGUUUUUUCCCGUUCACCAGCCAGGUGAACGGGCUGAAGGGAGAAGAGGCAGAUGUGUGUUACGUUGCUUUACCAUUGCUCAUGUAAA